CACGUUAAAACCAAUCAGGCUCGCCCGACGAAAGCCUGCCAUUCGGCGCUCAUAGGGUUAACUAAAUGAAUGUGCUAAGCAUGUAGUACCGACGAUGUAGGUUUUUCGGACGCGGGUUCAACUCCCGCCAGCUCCACCA
rnacentral:tmRNA from 1 species